rnacentral:lncRNA from 1 species
AUGAAGUCCACCGAGAAGCCCUCGGGAGAGAAAGCACCCAGGGGAGGGAGGCAGCAGCUGUGUGAGAGCAGCGGGAGCCAAGCAAACGCUGCUGCCUUCAGGAAGGGAAAGCUCAGCAGGAGGAAACGCUGCAGAGCUGUGCAGCAACGGCCUGAAACCCGUCCCACCACGGGAGGCUGCUGCUGUGCCCAGGAGAGCAGGCAGAGCCCUGCACGUACCUCCACACCCGGGCUCGCUGCGGCGCCGGCCGUUUCCACAGGCUCCUGGGGGGCUGAGGUGCUGUGGGGUGGGGACCCAGCACCUGCUGCGGCCUCGGGGACGCUUUGGCUGCACGGCUCUACCUGCACAAAGCAUUUCAAGUGCGCUUCAGAGUCCACAGAGGGCUGUCAGUAUGGGGAAAAUGGGAAAAGGUUUGUGGAGAGGACCACAAAAAUCCCACCCCCUCCACGGCACUGCAGCAGGGCAGAAAGAGGAGAUGGAUGCAGCAGCUCGUACCUGCUCCAAGUCCUCCGCCGUCCUGGUACAGGUGUUCUCUGGCAGGGCUGGCUCCGUUUUCAAAGCAGAGGGGCCCGGGCUCUGGCUGCCUGCAGCUUUCUGCCUGUCUUCUGGCUCAACCUGGGUGCAGGGAAUGGCGUAAGGCAGGGACGUUCAUCCCUCCUGGGGAAGGGGACAGGCAGGGUGCUAAAACCCCAAGGAAAGCAGGGGCUUUGCAGCCCCAGAGAAGCCAGGAAAACAUCCCACAGUCUGUCAGAGCCAGCGAGGCAGAAAGGGCUGGGUGAGAGAAGCGAGGUGUUACACGGGAUGAAGGGAUCCUCUGAGGGUGCAAGCAGCCCCAUACUCCUACCAGCCUUGCUCCAGCUGCUGGCUCCUGCUCCACAGCCUGAGGAUCAGCGGCUGGGCUCUUCUGCGGGGAGGCUGCUGGCCCGGAGGGCUCCGGCACCUUUCCGCUGGUUGCCGGCAGGCCCUGGGGGAAAUCACCUUGCUCAGGGACACGGCAGCACCACGAGAGCUACGUGGCCAUGA